GACGAACGCUGGCGGCGUGCUUAACACAUGCAAGUCGAACGGAAAGGCCCUGCUUGCAGGGUACUCGAGUGGCGAACGGGUGAGUAACACGUGGGUGAUCUGCCCUGCACUUCGGGAUAAGCCUGGGAAACUGGGUCUAAUACCGGAUAGGAGCCAUUUUUAGUGUGAUGGUUGGAAAGUUUUUUCGGUGUAGGAUGAGCUCGCGGCCUAUCAGCUUGUUGGUGGGGUAAUGGCCUACCAAGGCGGCGACGGGUAGCCGGCCUGAGAGGGUGGACGGCCACAUUGGGGCUGAGAUACGGCCCAGACUCCUACGGGAGGCAACAGUGGGGAAGAUUGCACAAUGGGCGCAAGCCUGAUGCAGCGGCGCCGCGGGGGGGAUGACGGCCUUCGGGUUGUAAAAUCCUUUCGCUAGGGACGAAGCUUUUUGUGACGGUACCUAGAUAAGAAGCACCGGCUAACUACGUG
rnacentral:rRNA from 1 species